CGCUCAGAUUGAACGCUGGCGGCAGGCCUAACACAUGCAAGUCGAGCGGUAGAGAGAAGCUUGCUUCUCUUGAGAGCGGCGGACGGGUGAGUAAUGCCUAGGAAUCUGCCUAGUGGUGGGGGAUAACGUUCGGAAACGGACGCUAAUACCGCAUACGUCCUACGGGAGAAAGCGGGGGAUCUUAGGACCUCGCGCCAUUAGAUGAGCCUAGGUCGGAUUAGCUAGUUGGUGAGGUAAUGGCUCACCAAGGCUACGAUCCGUAACUGGUCUGAGAGGAUGAUCAGUCACACUGGAACUGAGACACGGUCCAGACUCCUACGGGAGGCAGCAGUGGGGAAUAUUGGACAAUGGGCGAAAGCCUGAUCCAGCCAUGCCGCGUGUGUGAAGAAGGUCUUCGGAUUGUAAAGCACUUUAAGUUGGGAGGAAGGGCAGUAACCUAAUACGUUAUUGUUUUGACGUUACCGACAGAAUAAGCACCGGCUAACUUCGUGCCAGCAGCCGCGGUAAUACGAAGGGUGCAAGCGUUAAUCGGAAUUACUGGGCGUAAAGCGCGCGUAGGUGGUUCAGUAAGUUGGAAGUGAAAUCCCCGGGCUCAACCUGGGAACUGCUUUCAAAACUGCUGAGCUAGAGUACGGUAGAGGGUGGUGGAAUUUCCUGUGUAGCGGUGAAAUGCGUAGAUAUAGGAAGGAACACCAGUGGCGAAGGCGACCACCUGGACUGAUACUGACACUGAGGUGCGAAAGCGUGGGGAGCAAACAGGAUUAGAUACCCUGGUAGUCCACGCCGUAAACGAUGUCAACUAGCCGUUGGAAUCCUUGAGAUUUUAGUGGCGCAGCUAACGCAUUAAGUUG
rnacentral:rRNA from 1 species